rnacentral:rRNA from 1 species
GACCAUGGCUCAGGAUGAACGCUAGCUACAGGCUUAACACAUGCAAGUCGAGGGGCAGCAUGACGAUAGCUUGCUAUUGUUGAUGGCGACCGGCGCACGGGUGAGUAACGCGUAUCCAACCUGCCCUUGUCCAUCGGAUAACCCGUCGAAAGGCGGCCUAACACGAUAUGCAGUUCUCAGCAGGCAUCUAACGAGAACGAAAUGUAAAGGAGAAGGAUGGGGAUGCG